UGGAUUCCAUGAUGCCUUAUACCUACAUUGUUUGAUGAUCUGUGAUAUCAAAACUUUAACUGAGAAUCCU